CAGGAAAUUAACAGAGGAUGGGUCAGUAAAUAAACAGUGAAUUGGUCAGUUAACAAACAGUAGACAGGUCAGUAAAUAAACAGUAGACAGGUCAGUUAACAAACAGUAGACAGGUCAGUUAACAAACAGUAGACAGGUCAGUUAUCAAACAGUAGAUUGGUCAGCAAAUAAACAGUGAAUUAGUCAGUUAACAAACAGUAGAUAGGUCAGUAAAUAAACAGUAGACAGGUCAGUCAAUAAACAGUAGAUAGGUCAGUUAACAAACAGUAGACAGGUCAGUUAACAAACAGUAGACAGGUCAGUUAACAAACAGUAGAUAGGUCAGCAAAUAAACAGUGAAUUAGUCAGUUAACAAACAGUAGAUAGGUCAGUUAACAAACAGUAGACAGGUCAGUUAACAAACAGUAGAUAGGUCAGUUAACAAACAGUAGGUUGGUCAGCAAAUAAACAGUGAAUUAGUCAGUUAACAAACAGUAGAUAGGUCAGUAAAUAAACAGUAGAUAGGUCAGUAAAUAAACAGUGAAUUAGUCAGUUAACAAACAGUAGACAGUUCAGUAAAUAAACAGUAGACAGGUCAGUAAAUAAACAGUAGACAGGUCAGUUAACAAACAGUAGAUAGGUCAGUAAAUAAACAGUAGAUAGGUCAGUAAAUAAACAGUGAAUUAGUCAGUUAACAAACAGUAGACAGUUCAGUAAAUAAACAGUAGACAGUUCAGUAAAUAAACAGUAGACAGGUCAGUAAAUAAACAGUAGAUAGGUCAGUAAUUAAACAGCUAAUCGGUCAGCAAAUAAACAGUGAAUUAGUCAGUUAACAAACAGUAGAUAGGUCAGUAAAUAAACAGUGAAUUAGUCAGUUAACAAACAGUAGAUAGGUCAGUAUGUACACAG